GACAUGCACUUUCCAUUUGAUUUUCUUUCUGAAAAGUUGAAUCAUCAUAAUGCCAAAAAAAAAAUACUAACCCUCCAAGCGUGGCUCAGAUAUUUCUGCUUGGACCUAAGAGGUGGCUAUUUUUGGAAAGGUCCUUUUGUGGCUGUGAAGGAAACAAAUAUUCCCUCUUCCUUCAGAUCCUAAAGUACUCAGUACCUUUGUGGAGUUUGCUGUGGGAGCACCCAAUAGCCUGCCCUCAGCCAUUUCCCUUCCUGCAGAAUUCAGGAGGCAGGGACCUCCAGAGUGACUGACAGUAGUUCCAAGGCAGGCGGAGUGGGAGAACUGGCCUCUCUGUAACCUUACCUGCCAGGGGCCCUCCACUUCCCAGGUGUGGAAACUGAGGCUUAGAGAAGGGUGAGGACUGGCUGAAAAAUCCCAUAGCAGAUGAGCAACAGAACUGGAACCCAACCCAGCUCUGCUCCACUCUGACGGCCACAACAGCCCAGCAGGUGGUCUGAGUGGUGCUGGGGACACCAGAUGUGACUCAGGUGAGAUAUGAACACAUGGGCUUUAUAUCCACAGCCAGGUAUUUAUUUUAAUGUGUAUCAAUAAGUAGCUGUGACAUCGAGGCUACGAUUUCACAGCUGCAGUGAUGUAUGACAAGGUUAAAGGAGGGAUUUAAGCUAAAAAGUGAAAGAAAUGAGGCUGGGUUCACACCUCUAAUCCUAGCACUUUGGGAGGCCAAGGCGGGUGGAUCCCCUGAGGUCAGGAGUUAGAGACCAGCUUGGCCGACAUGGUGCAACCCUGUCUCUACUAAAAAAAUACAAAGGCCGGGUGUGGUGGCUCACACCUGUGAUCCCAGCACUUUGGGAGACCAAGGCAGAAG
rnacentral:lncRNA from 1 species